rnacentral:tRNA from 1 species
AGCCUUGAGGUGUAAACACAUCAGAUUGCAAAUCUGAAGAAGCAGGUUAAUAUCUUGCCGGGGCUU